rnacentral:rRNA from 1 species
AACGAACGCUGGCGGCAUGCCUAACACAUGCAAGUCGAACGAGACCUCCGGGUCUAGUGGGGCUCGGGUGCGUAACGCGUGGGAACCUGCCCGUAGGUUCGGAAUAACUCCCUGAAGGGGGAGCUAAUACCGGUUAAUGUCUUCGGACCAAAGAUCUUUCGCUUUUGGGUGGGCCCGGGUUGGUUUAGCCAGUUGGUAGGGUAAAAGCAUACCAAGGGGACGUUCCAUAGCUGGUCUGAGAGGAGGACAAGCCACACUGGGACUGAGGCACGGCCCAGAAUCCGACGGGAGGGAGGAGAAGGGAAUAUUAGAGGAGGGGGGAAAGCCUGAUACAGCAAUGCCGGGGGAGUGGUGAAGGCGUUAGGAUUGUAAAGCUCUUUUAGCCGGGAUGAUAAUGACGGUACCGGGAGAAUAAGCACCGGCUAACUCCGUG